GUGGGGAAUAUUGCACAAUGGGCGAAAGCCUGAUGCAGCAACGCCGCGUGAGGGACGACGGCCUUCGGGUUGUAAACCUCUUUUAGUAGGGAAGAAGCGAAAGUGACGGUACCUGCAGAAAAAGCACCGGCUAACUACGUGCCAGCAGCCGCGGUAAUACGUAGGGUGCAAGCGUUAUCCGGAAUUAUUGGGCGUAAAGAGCUCGUAGGCGGUCUGUCGCGUCUGCUGUGAAAACUGGAGGCUCAACCUCCAGCAUGCAGUGGGUACGGGCAGACUAGAGUGCGGUAGGGGAGAUUGGAAUUCCUGGUGUAGCGGUGGAAUGCGCAGAUAUCAGGAGGAACACCGAUGGCGAAGGCAGAUCUCUGGGCCGUAACUGACGCUGAGGAGCGAAAGCGUGGGGAGCGAACAGGAUUAGAUACCCUUGUAGUCC
rnacentral:rRNA from 1 species